UGCCAGCAGCCGCGGUAAUACGAGGGGGGCUAGCGUUAUUCGGAAUAACUGGGCGUAAAGCGUGUGAAGGUGGCUUGCUAAGUCGAUUGUUAAAUUCUAUGGCCUAACCAUGGAGCUGCAGUCGAUACUGGUAGGCUAGAGACUGGAAGAGAGGAGUGGAAUUCUCGGAGUAGCGGUAAAAUGCGUAGAUCUCGAGAGGAACACCAAUGGCGAAGGCAGCUCCUUGGUCCAAGUCUGACACUCAAACACGAAGGCGUGGGGAGCAAACAGGAUUAGAUA
rnacentral:rRNA from 1 species